AUACGGAGGGUGCAAGCGUUAAUCGGAAUUACGGGGCGUAAAGCGUACGUAGGCGGUUCGUUAAGUUAGAUGUGAAAGCCCCGGGCUUAACCUGGGAACUGCAUUUAAAACUGGCGAACUAGAGUUGAGUAGAGGGGAGUGGAAUUUCAGGUGUAGCGGUGAAAUGCGUAGAGAUCUGAAGGAACACCAGUGGCGAAGGCGGCUCCCUGGACUCAAACUGACGCUGAGGUACGAAAGCGUGGGUAGCAAACGGGAUUAGAAACCCUAGUAGUCC
rnacentral:rRNA from 1 species